rnacentral:lncRNA from 1 species
CACUAUUUUCCCAGUGUCUAAUCAGGGAUGAGCUCAGCAAGAGUACUAAGAGCUCUCUGUUUUACCCAGCUGCCUAUUUUUAUGGAGCCUGUAGGAAAUUAAUGCCAUUGAGACCUCAGUUUGGUUUUCCCUAGACACGUGGCUCAAGAAGCAUUACUGAAGUGAUGGACAGGAUAAGCAGAUUAAUGGUGCAAAUACAAAUCUGUAAGAAACCAAGCCAAAGAUGAAUUUGUAUGUGUCUUUUUACUCCAAGCUGUAAUUAAAUUCAAUGAGGAGCAGAGCCUUAGGACCCACAUCUUAGAGAGCCCUGUACCUUCUAUUUUCAGUGAUCUGUGGCUUGGCUUCCGGAGAUGCUGCUCAUCUGUACUUCAUGUUGAAGCAAUUAAAAUUCACUAAACAACCAAAUUAGAAGUCUCACAUUAGGAUCCAAACAUCAACCAGUUUCUGCAGAAGAACCACCAAGCUUCUACUAUUUGGCUGAACUGCUCAACUGCCCAGGCCUCAUAUUAAGCAAAGCAGGCAUCUCAACAGCUACUUCAAAUUUGCAUUCUUAAGUGGAAUUAGCAGAGAAAGGAGAUUUACACACCCCUUGCUGGCAGCUUGGUUUGUGCUUCAUGCAGCAAGGCUCCUGCAAACAAAGCCCAAACUUCCCAAUUAAUCUCCAGGAUGAAAGGAGAAAUGACCUUUGGAUGAAGAUGGUGGUGAACUUGUGCUCAGGAUACUCCAGGCCAGACUGUGUCACAAAACCUCUACAUGACUUUAUGGAAGUCAUUCAAACUCUUGGGACUUGUUUUCCUAACAGGUUUCACAGGCUAGGAGGUGAACAAUUCACACAGGUGGAACUGUGUCUGAAACCAAGGAUGCCUCCCCAUGGGAAAAGCCUGGGUCAGCACAGUUGCUGCUUAGGUAGGGAAAAGAGACGCCUGGAGAGCCACUCUGACCCAGGCAAUGGUAGCUGCACGUUUAGUGUCAAGUCCCUGCUAGAAAAUGCCAAGCUGCAUUUGUCAGACCCUAAAACUCAGCCUGGGUGA